rnacentral:sRNA from 1 species
CAGAUUAAUAUUAAGAUUGGAAGUUUGUGUCUUUUGCUGGAUAUUGGAAAUUGAAUGUAAUGGCAACAGAAUUUAUAAAGAGUUGCUGUGGAGGAUGUUUCUAUGGUGAAACAGAAAAACACAACUUUUCUGUGGAAAGAGAUUUUAAAGCAACAGUCCCAAAUAGUCAAAAUGCUACUAUCUCUGUACCUCCAUUGACUUCUGUUUCUGUAAAGCCUCAGGUUGGCUGUACUGAGGAUUAUUUGCUUUCCAAAUUACCAUCUGAUGGCAAAGAAGUACCAUUUGUGGUGCCCAGGUUUAAGUUAUCUUAUAUUCAACCCAGGACACAAGAAACUCCUUCACAUCUGGAAGAACUUGAAGGUAAACAUUAAAAUAGCAGGAUUUAAAAAUUGAUAUGUAGCAUUUAAGUGCUAUUAUUUUACUUUUAUAUUUUUAAUACAAAAUUCAUAUAAAAUUUUUUAUUUUACUUUUUAUAUUUUGCUCUUUCUGUAGAAGAACUUAAUGUACAGUAGUUUUGAAAGGUCCCAUUUUGAAAUCUGAUCAUAAUGCAAUAAUUUGUAUGUAGAAUUGGCCUUUUUUCAAGAAAUAAUAUGUAAUUGGCCCUCCAUAUCUGUGGGUUCCACAUCUGUGGAUUUAACCAACUGCAGAUCAAAAA